UACGUAGGUGGCAAGCGUUGUCCGGAUUUACUGGGCGUAAAGAGCGCGCAGGCGGUUAUUCAAGUCGAAUGUGAAAGCCCCCGGCUCAACUGGGGAGGGUCAUUCGAUACUGCUUAACUUGAAGGCAGGAGAGGGAAGUGGAAUUCCCGGUGUAGUGGUGAAAUGCGUAGAUAUCGGGAGGAACACCAGUGGCGAAGGCGACUUCCUGGCCUGUUCUUGACGCUGAGGCGCGAAAGCUGGGGGAGCAAACGGG
rnacentral:rRNA from 1 species